rnacentral:rRNA from 1 species
CCUACGGGAGGCAGCAGUAAGGAAUAUUGGUCAAUGGACGAAAGUCUGAACCAGCCAUGCCGCGUGAAGGAUGAAGGUCCUCUGGAUUGUAAACUUCUUUUAUUUGGGACGAAAAAAGGGUUAUCUAACUCACUUGACGGUACCAGAUGAAUAAGCACCGGCUAACUCCGUGCCAGCAGCCGCGGUAAUACGGAGGGUGCAAGCGUUAUCCGGAUUCACUGGGUUUAAAGGGUGCGUAGGCGGGUAGGUAAGUCAGCGGUGAAAUCCCCGAGCUUAACUUGGGAACUGCCGUUGAUACUAUUUAUCUUGAAUGUUGUGGAGGUUAGCGGAAUAUGUCAUGUAGCGGUGAAAUGCUUAGAUAUGACAUAGAACACCCAUUGCGAAGGCAGCUAACUACGCAAAUAUUGACGCUGAGGCACGAAAGCGUGGGGAUCAAACAGGAUUAGAUACCCUGGUAGUCCACGCCCUAAACGAUGAUUACUCGACAUUGGCGAUACACAGUCAGUGUCUGAGCGAAAGCAUUAAGUAAUCCACCUGGGAAGUACGAUCGCAAGAUUGAAACUCAAAGGAAUUGAACGGCUGAGAGAGACGAGACGACGACGAGGGAGGAGG